rnacentral:rRNA from 1 species
GCUCUCGCAUGGUUGAUUGGUCAGCGCGAAGUCAUACUUUAAUUGGCGUGACUUUUGCCACGUUCGUCUGAACGAUCUUAACAAAUCAUCAUGGGGCUUAUAGUGUGGGCACCUUGGCGUAUUACAUUGGACAGUACAUUUUAAAUUUAAAACUGUCUGAAUUAACGGAUUGGCGAGAUUUUUACUGUUGCUGAAACUGCCGCCAUGAAGAAGGAAUCGCGAGUAAUCGUAGAUCAUUAGCGCUACGGUGAAGGUUAACCCUCUAGAGUACAAACUGCCCGUCACCUAAGAUAACUGCACUGUACCCGAAGAACUAAAUCAACACAACAAGUCGCAAGUUUGGAACCAAGGCGUGAUGUGGAAAUUUUAGCAAGUCGAAACAAGGUUGGGGUAGUGGAAGCUGCUCCAGAAUCAAAUAUUUAUA